GGUGAGAUGUUUUCAGGGCAGGGCCAUUCUUGCUGAAUUCAGUGCCGCAGUCCAUCCUGAUUGGCUCUCGGGUGAUUUUCAGACAAGACCUGUUUGUCCCGGGGGCUGGUCCUCUAAUGGGUGCCAAGGAGAAGAUACCAAAUACAUGGAGUACCUUUAGGAGUAGCCAUUUGUGGGGGAGGUGGGCUACCCUGUGGCCAUGUCCUUCCUGCCUGUGAAGCAGCUCAACACGAGGAUGUGACUGUGGCUGUGGACAGAGGCAGCACACGCAUUCCUGAUGCUGAUCUGCUGAGACACGAAUAGAAUCUGCAGUGACUCCAGUGUACCAGUGCCUCAGAUCAAAGACCUCAAUAGUGUCACGUUUGCUAAGGCUGAUGCCUCUCCUACAGGUAACAGUGGGGAUGACCGUUGGAAGGCACAGCCAAAGAGCAGACAGAAGUUAAGGUGGCCACAGCACAGGUCAGGGAUCCAAGGAGCUGGGGAGGACUGCUCAAAACUAGUCUGGAAGCUUGCCUUCUCUGCUCCUGCUGACCAUCAGGUCCUGUCAUUACCACUCUCAGGUCCGUCUUAUGAGAUGAGGAAUGGGGCCCUCCUCAGGGGAGAGUUUCAGAAAUGAGGGAAAGGCAAUUAUAGAUAGAAAGAAGUAUCCUGCCAUUUAAAUUGCUGAAAGAGCUAGAAUCCCUGGGCUCGGUAGUUUGUAUCUUAAUGUUUGUGCGCUAGCACAGGCCCAUUGGAGAGGAAAAGCUGUUGUCCUGGGAGCAAAGUAAGCAGCCAUUCAGGUCUCAUUUUUUAUUUUGGUAUGCUUGCCCUUGGGUGUUUAUAGUCCGGAACUGUAGGAGCUAUGUAUGUACAUAAUAUAUAUAUUUUUUAAUUUAUUAAGUUUUAAAAUGUGAUUUUUCAAGAUUAUGAAAAAAUUAAAUAAAUUUGAGCUAGAGAAAUGGCUCAGUGGUUAACUUCGCUUACUGCUCUUCCAGAGGACCCAGGUUCAGUUCCCAGCUUUAAGCCAUCUCUAACUCCAUUGGGGACAGGCUAGGGGAUGGGAUCCUCUACCUUUUUCAGGCCUCUGCAGACACCAGACACACAUAAUGGUGCACAUACAUGUGUUCAGGCAAAACGCUAAUAUACAUAAAAAAUAAAAACAAAUAAAUCUGGUUUUUCAAUCAGAUAAAUUCCCAGAGGAAGUCACUCCACCUGUUACUAGAUAAUUUUGUGCCCUGGGCUGAUGGUACUGUGAUGUUGGGAAGUGUUGCUAGAGGCUGGCAGUGUGGUCUUUCCUGUGUUUGCAAGCCCCCCACUUUUAAAUUCAGUGGGAGUAACUGCAUGUUCCCUCCUGUUAACAGAACAGCUUCUCUCUGCAGUUAGCUCAUAAAACAGCUUCCUUAGAAUAGAAUGGAAACCCACUUUCAAGUUAGGAGGUGAUGAGAACGGAUGCUUGAGAGAUGAAUGUCAGCAGCACAAAGCUGUCCCCUUUGCCUUUCUUUCUCAUUAGCAAGAAGUAGACCCUGGGCUGGCCAGAUGGCUCAACUGCUGAGAGCUCUUGCUGCAUCUCCAGGAGACCCAAGUUCCAUUCCUAACACCCAUGACACAGCCCAUAACCCCUAACUCCAGUUCCAGGAGAUCUAAUGCCCUCUUCUAGUCUCCCUUGGCAUCUGUGCACACAUGGCAUUCACUAACACAGUUACACAUAAAUAAUAAUAUUAAUCGUGAAGCAGACAAGGAAGUACUCAAAAAGUUACAUAAUGUGCGUCAUUCCUGAAUUUUCCCAAUAACUGUCACUUGAAAACAGAGGGAACUGACUUUCUCUCGUAUGUUUAAAGUGACUGUCGUGGUUCAAUCUUGUUGGCCCAAAUCUCCAUCCUAGGCAAAUAUUCCCCAGUCGUUACAGCUGCCCAAUGCUGUUAGUCAUGGCUGCCAUAACUAGAACAUUUAACUCAAGACAACUCCCACAGUUCCACUGUGAGACUGUAAGACUGGGAAUUUAUCUAAUUAAAAAGUCAGUCUUGCUGUUUUACUAUGAAACUUGACAGAAAUGUACCACAGCAACAAAACUAGGAAUCACGGUUGACUUCCUCCCACAUCAAAAACUUCCAGUCCGACUUCUGCUUUAAUAGCAUGUUAGAAGCUCUUGCAUUUCCUUAACCUAGAGAGCCAGCGUUCCUAUGCAGUGGCUCCCCAUUCUGGUCUCAUGGAGGUGCCCCCAUCACCACAACACCCCUCCCCCGUGAUAGCCUUCUUUCCACCUCAGCCUGGGAGCAUUGACCUCAUCCUUCAGCAGGUACAUACACCUCAACUUCCACAUGUGACCUGUAGCUCUGUCAUAAGAAUCAACUUCCCAAGCUCUCCGCAUAGUCCCAGACUUGAGAGUAGCUUAUUGCCACCGGCAAACUCGUAGUCCUUACCCACCUGUUCUUUGGUCAGUUAUGGGGCAUUUUAAUUUACAUAAGUAAUGAUUUUUUUUUUUUGCUGCUAAUAUGAACACCAGUUAUAUUUUUAACC
rnacentral:lncRNA from 1 species